GUGUGAAUCCUUGCUAAGCAAAAGUGUGGUUCUCAGAUCAGGAGCGUCGGCUUCACCUACGAGUUUGUGAAAGAUCAAGAGUCAGGGGCCUCACGGAUGCCCGGAGUAGUUCGCUUGAGUCUAAAUGCCCUGCUUCCAUUUCUCCAGUCAGCCGCUCAUCAGGCUUCCCUUUCUUUUCCAUUCCAGCCGCACGCAGCCAGACUCAUUGGCCACAUCUGUCACCACUCGCUAACACACACACGUAGACACUCUCACUCUCCACAGUUACGGUGAGCUCCCCAUCAGGCCUCAGUCACCCCUCGGCCUGUAGGUGUAUUUACCGUUCAUUGAGCUGUUUAAGAAGGGCUGGGCACUGUGCGUGUGUUGAGUCAGAAUCGACUCGACGGCACUGGGUUUGGGUUGGGCACUGUGUUGAGUACUUUAUAUACCACAAGUCCUUUUUUCAAAACAACGCUGUGAGGUAGGGAGUAUUUGUGGCAUUUUAGAAAAGUAAUAGUCUUGGAGAAAUUAAAUGGCUUGCCCAUGGACAAAUACCUAGUAAGUGGCAGUACCUGAAAUGAAAUUCUGGACUGCUAUUACUUCAAGGGGGCAUACUUUUUUUUUUUUAAUUGUGCUUUAAGUGAAAGCUUACAAAUCAAGUACAGAAAUUUAUAUAAACCUUGCUGUGUACUCCUGGUUGCUCUCCCCCUAAUGAGAGAGCACACUCUGUCUCUCCACCCUGUAUUCUGGUGUCCAUUCAGCCAGCUUCUGUCCCCCUCUGCCUUCUCAUCUCCCCUCCAGACAGGAGCUGCCCACACAGUCUCAUGUGUCUACUUGAUCCAAGAAGCUCACUCCUCACCCGUAUCAUUUUCUGUUUUAUAGUCCAGUCCAAUCCCUGUCUGAAGAGCUGGCUUUGUGAAUGGUUCCGGUCUUGGGCUAACAGAAGGUCUGGAGACCAUGUCCUCUGGGGUCCUUCUAGUCUCAGGCAGACCAUUAAGUCUGGUCUUUUUACAAGAAUUUGAGGUCUGCAUCCCACCGUUCUCCUGCUCCCUCAGGGGUUCUCUGUUGUGUUCCCUGUCAGGGCAGUCAUCCAUUGUAGCUGGGGACCCUCUAGUUCUUGUGGUCUCAGGCUGAUGUAGUCUCUGAUUUAUGUGGCCCUUUCUGUUUCUUGGGCUCAUAAUUACCUUAUGUCUUUGGUGUUCUUCAUUCUCCUUUGCUCCAGGUGUGUUGAGACCAAUUAAUUGAUGGAUCUUAGAGGGCCACUUGCUAGCUUUUAAGACCCUGGACACCACUCACCAAAGUAGGAUGCAGAAUGUGUUCUUAGUAGAUUUUAUUAGUUGACCUAAACAUCCCCUGAAACCAUGGUCUCCAGACCAAGGGGGCAUAUUCUUGAUUAUAAUUUCCCUGCCUAAAAUGGCUCAUCAGGCAGGAUUUUUGUUGAGUAUUGCUGGUCAUACAAAAAUAAAGAUUGUGGUGAGGAAUAUAUCACCCUCCUUUAAUGGUUGUAAGUAUUUAAGGCAGGUGAAGAAUUAAGAAAAAUGAGUUGGAACUAGUACUCAUACAUUUAGAACCAUAUUUAUCCCAAUUUCAGGAGGUAAACAUUUUGUAAGAGGCACGUUUGGAGGAAUUUCUUUGGCUCUAAGGCAGAAAUUUUCAUCAGGAUUGUGUGAGAAACAAUAUGGACAAUCCUAGUUGGUCUAAUAUAAAAUGUGAUGUUGCUUGAUAAUCUUCAUAUGAACGAUGAGGGAUUUAUAGAGAUCACACCUGGUGUCUGUGUGAUCUGUGCUGGAUUGGAUGUUGGUAAUUUGAACCACAAUUUUUACUACCAAAAAAACACACUUCUUACAAGGUUGAAGAAUUCGUGGACCACAAACCGGGUCUAUUCCCGAUGUCAGAACAGCAGGUAUAACGAAUGAGAGGCAUGUAUGAUGAAACUAAUCAGAAUACUCAAAUCUUAGAGGGUCAGCCACACUACAAUGUUGCAAAAAGUACCUCAUCUUUUGCAAUAACUAUUUUACAAAGUAAAAGAGUCAAGUAGGGUGUCCCAGGGUGGCAGAAAAGGUUAAGGUUACUAGCUGAAAGGUUGGAGGCUUGAACCCACCCAAACGUGCCUUGGAUGACAGGCCUUGUGAUUUGCUUCUGAAAGCUGACAUCAUUGAAAACCCUGUGGAGCAAAUUUGAAGUGGCUAAUUUUUUUUUUUAAACUCCCCAGGUGAUUUCACUAUGUAGCCAAAGUUGAGAAUCACUGCACUAAUGGGUCACAACAUGAAGUUUGAAAAACACAACUCUAAACUGUUGAAAAAGUGUGUGAUUGAGUUAAUAGUAUUGUACCAAUACUGAUUUUUUUUUAAAAUGUAUUUUAGAUGAAAGUUUACAGAACAAACUAGCUUUUCAUUGAGCAAUUAGUACACAUACUGUUUUGUGACCUUGGUUACCAACCCCACAACAUGUCAGCACUCUCGCUUCUCAAGCUUGGGUGCCCUAUUACUAGCUUUCCUGUCCCCUCCUGCCUUCUAGUCCUUGCCCCUGGGGUGGUGUGCCCCUUUAGUCUCCUUUUAUUUUAUGGGCCUGUCUAAUCUUUGGCUGAAGGCUGAACCUUAGGAGUAACUUCAUUACUGAGCUAAAAGGGUGUCUGGGGACCAUACUCUUGGGAUUUCUCUAGUCUCUUGUCAGUCCAGUAAGUCUGUUCUUUUUUUUUGGGAGUUAGAAUUUUGUCCUACAUUUUUCUCCAGCUCUGCCUGGGACCCUUUACUGUGAACCCUGUCAGAACAGUCAGUGGUGGUAGCUGGGUAUCAUCUAGUUGUGCUGGACACAGUCUGGUGGAGGCUGUGGUAGUUGCGGUCCCUUAGUCCUUUGGACUAAUCUUUCCCUUGUGUCUUUGGUUUUCUUCAUUCUCCCUUGCUCCCGAUGGGGUGAGACCAGUGGCCGCUCCCAAGCUUUUAAGACCCCAGAUGCUACUCACCAAAGUAGUAGAAUGUUUCUUUAUAAACUAUUUGUAAUGGAUCGAAUUGUGUCCCUCCAAAAUAUGUGUCAACUCCGUUAGGCUAUGUGUGGUUGUCCUCCAUUUUGUGAUUGUAAUUUUAUGUUGAGAGGAUUAGGGUGGGAUUGUAACACCACCCUUACUCAGGUCACCUCCCUGAUCCAAGGUAAAGGGAGUUUCCCUGGGGUGUGGCCUGUACCACCUUUUAUCUCUCAAGAGAUAAAAGGAAAGGGAAGCAAGCAGAGAGUGGGGGACCUCAUAUCACCAAGAAAGCAGCACCAGGAGCAGAGCUUAUCCUUUGUACAUGGGGUUCCUAUGCCUGAGAAUCUCCUCAACCAGGGGAAGAUUGAGGACAAGGACCUUCCUCCAGAGCCCACAGAGAGAAAAAGCCUUCCCCUGGAGCCGACGCCCUGCGUUUGGACUUGUAACCUACUAGACUGUGAGAAAAUACAUUUCUCUUUGUUAAAGCCAUCCACUUGUGAUAUUUCUGUUGUGGCAGUACUGGAUGACUAAGACACUGUGUUAUCGUAGUUGAGCUAGAUGUUCCCCAAGACCGUGAUUCCCACAGCCCUCAGCUCAGUAAUUUGGUUCCUCGGAGAGGUUGGUUGUGUCUAUGGAGCUUCCAUGAUAAAGUAACUAAAUUUAAGUGUCACAUUUGAGAAAGCAUUGGGAACUCCAAUGCCAUUAGCAUAAUCUUUUUUUUUUUUUUACUACUUAGAAUAAUUCAUAUGAUUUUUGUUUUGUUUUGUCAUGGAAGCAGUCCUUUUUCUUUUUUCUUUGUAUUAAUAACAAGGUGAUCCAGAUCCGAUUACCUUAAAAAGUUCAUUCUUUACACACUGCCUUUCCUCAACUGUGAUUUUAUUUCUCUAGGUUAAUAUAGCCUAAGGUUGGCAUUAAAUCUUUGAAAUACCCACUUGUCUCUCUAUAUCCCUAUAGUAUGUAAAUUUCCCUCCUUUCACAUGUACACUCAGACCAAGAAACUAAGUUUCUUUCUUUUUUAAUGGUGUCAUCUCAUGCUAUCUUUUGUGUGUGUGUGUGGUAAAAUAUGUAUAACAAAACCUUUUUGUAUUUCAACAACUUUUAUAUGUACAAUUUAGUAACAUUAAUUACUUUCACCAUGUUGUAUAACCAUCACCACUGUCAGUUUCCAAGGUUUUCCAUUACCCUUAGCAGAAACUUGGUACCUCUUAGUCAUUAACUCCCCCUCCUCCCUCUCAUCCGCCCCUGGUAACCAUUUGGUUUCUACACAUUUGCCUAUCUAGAUGCUUCAUUUAUGUGAUGUACAAGAAUACAUCCUUGAAAACUAGUCUGUGGAGAAAAUAAAUGUUCUUAUUUUUUUAAAUUGUCAAAAUAUUACGUGUGUCAAUGCAUAGAGUAAAAACGAUCAUUACACAUCACUUGUAAUCUCACUGGAAACCCUGCUAUCAUAGUGGUCAAGAGCUAUGACUGCUGACCAAAAGGAGGGCAGUUCAGAUCCACCAGGUGCUCCUUGGAAACCCUGUGGGACAGUUCUGCUCUGAACUGACUCCACAACAACGGGUAAUGGGUGUAAUCUCAACAUCAGUAGGAGAAUAUGGUGCCUUUUAUUUUUCCCUUUCCUUCCUUAGAGAUAGACAUUCUAAAAGUAUUCUGUUUUUGGACUGGAGUUCCCCUUGGAGACAUGACUGGUAAUGUGGUCACUUCAUAUAUCAAAUUCAAACCUUCAUGUAAAACUACUGAAUUUUCCUAGUUCAAAAUCUAAGAAUUGCCCCUCAGAUAACACUUCAAUAUCAACUUCUAUUUCCCAAAGGCCUAAUACAUGCCAGAACUAUGCUCUUUCUUCCCUUUAGCUUGAAGCUUCAGAAGUGGGAAUGUAGCCUGUUUCAGAGGUCACAAUUUGAUUAUUUGUGGCCAGGAGGAGACAACCUGCAGGUUGAGAUACGGACUCUGGGGGACCAAUGGACGCAGACACCAAACCCUUACCAUUGUCCACCUGGGGCCCUAGGGACUGUAUGGCUCUGAACCCUAACAUGUCUAAGACAGAGCUUUUAAAGUCUCAGCUGAGCAAAUCUACUUCUCACCUGGCUUCCCCAACCAGUAAAUGGCAUCGGCAUCCAUUCACUAGAUUAGGGGAAAUAGUCCAAGGUACUCUGAGAGAUCUACCUUAUAGAAGCAGCCUCUGAACUUUCUUCUACUUUUUUUCUUGUCACAAGAAGGUAUAAUCUCCACCCAGCAGCAAGAAGCAUGUUUAAAUAAACAAGGUAAACCAAGUACGCUAUCAAUCACAUGUAGAACAAAAUGUAUGUAUUUUAUGUUGGCCAACAAGAUCCUACAUGGUUGGGCUUAUGUAUAGCUCUCUGACUUAAAUUUAUAACUCCCUCAAGUUAGAUAAGUCUUGACACAUUUUGAAAAAACUUUUUCAAAGAUGCCAAGAUUUUCACUGCCUUUCAGCCUUUGUACCAGGCGAAGACUUUUUAACCAUAGCAAUUCGAUAAUUCUUGUAAUUCAAGUCUCACUUCAGAUGUCACCUCCUCAGAGAAUGUCCCUCCUGUCUCCUCAGUUAUUCCCACUCAUUUCGAUGUUCACAUAUCAUUGCAGUUUUCAGAAUGAGCUUCCAGCAAACAAAAAGUUUUGAAGCUCUGCAUUGUGCUGAUGGCAGCUUUCAUACCCUCUCUGCUGUGUUGGUCGCUUAGCAUUCUGCACGUGUUGAUCUAUAAGGGACAGACCUACGUAGGUGAAUCCACAACUUCAACAUUGGACCCCUGACUCCCUCGAGGAACUCAGGUUCAGGCUUUCCAGCCUGGCCAGGCCUGGUUGCUUCUCAUGCUCUGGGAUAAGUAAAUUCCUCCAUCUGUGAUCUUGUUGCCAGAAAGAAGAAGCCCAUGAUGCUGCAUGAAGAAUGCAGGUCCCAGGUGUGGUACAGGAACUAUACCACACUUAUACCGUGCACAUCUGUAAAUCACAAGUAAGGAUUUCAACUGUUCUGACUGGUGUGUGGACCAAAUGUUAUUUAUCUGCCUCCAAAUUGUCCAGUGCUCUGCUUCUACACCCAUCGCUCUUUCUGAAGUGGUUUUUUGGGCUUAGAGACAACAUCCACUUAGACUUCCAGAAAGUGGAGCCAGGAAAUGGACUCAGUGACCAUUGAGGAUGUGGCUGUGGUCUUUAGCCAGGAAGAGUGGGCUUUGCUGGAUCUUACUCAGAGGAAACUCUAUAGACAUGUGAUGAUGGAAACCUUCAGAAACCUGACUUCAGUAGUCUCUCGAAACCUUGAUGAUGGAGAAAAGUUAUCCAGUGAACAUAUAAUAGUGCAAUUCAUGAAGAAUGAGACCUGGUCCUCCAUGCUAGGAGAAAUAUCCAAAUUGCAUAGCAAUAAAGAUCAGCAUAAAAAACAGGAGAGACACUUGAGAAGUCAUACAAUAGAGAACCUCUGUGAAUGUAAUGAAGGCAUUUGGUGUCAGAAAACCUUCAGCGGCAUUCCAGAUCUUACUAUGCCAAAAAGAAAUCCUUCAGAAGUAAAUCCUUUUGAAUGCCCUGUGUGUGGAAAAGCCUUCAUGGAUCACUCAUCACAUAACCAUCAUACCAGAUCUCACACUGAAUGCAAUACCUGUCAGUGUAAGGCGUGUGGAGAAGCCUGCAGUUGUCCCUCUCACCUAAACACUCCUAUGAGAGCUCUUAAUGGAAAGAAACCCCAUAAAUGUAAGGUAUGUGGGAAGGACUUCAUUAGUAUCUCAACCAUUAAGAGUCCUGUGACAACACUCAAAGGUGAGAAAUGCUAUGAAUGUAAUGAAUGUGGGAAGGAUAUCUGUAGUUUCUCAUCCAGUUGGAUACAUGUGAGAGGUCAUAAGCUCAAAUGUCAAGAAUAUCGUAAAACCUGUAGUUGUCCUUUAUCCCUCAUUUUACAUAAAAAAUCUCAUAACAGAGAUGAUCCUUAUGAAUGUAAGAAAUGUGGGAAAGCCUUUAAUGAGGCUUCAUCUCACAGUCAGUAUAUAAGAACUCACAGUAGAGAGAGGCCUUAUGAAUGUAAGGAGUGUGGGAAAGCUUUUAGUUAUUCCUCAUCCCUCACUACACAUAUGCGAACUCACAGUGGAGACAGGCCUUAUGAAUGUAAGGAAUGUGGGAAAGCUUUUAGUCAGACCUCAAACCUCACUACACAUAUGCGAACUCACAGUGGAGAAAGGCCUUAUGCAUGCAAAGAAUGUGGGAAAGCCUUUAGGUGUUCCUCACACCUCACUACACAUAUGAAAACUCACAAUGGGCAGAGGCCUUAUGAAUGUAAGGAAUGUGGGAAAGCCUUUAGUCAGGUGUCAUCACUCACUCAACAUAUAAGAACUCACAGUGGAGUGAGGCCUUAUAAAUGUAAGGAAUGUGGGAAAGCCUUUAGGUGUUCCUCUCACCUGACUACACAUAUAAAAACUCACAGUGGGCAGAGGCCUUAUGAAUGUAAGGAAUGUGGGAAAGCUUUUAGUAAUUCCUCAGCCCUCACUAAACAUAGAAGAACUCAUAGCGGAGAGAUGCCUUAUCAAUGUAAAGACUGUGGGAAAGUCUUUAGGCAAGCCUCAAACCUCACUACACAUAGAAGAAUUCACAGUGGGGAGAGGCCUUAUGAAUGUAAGGAGUGUGGGAAAGCUUUUAGUCGUUCCACACACCUUACUACACAUAUAAGAACUCACAGUGGAGAAAGACCUUAUGAAUGUAAGGAAUGUGGGAAAACCUUUAGUCAUUCCUAUUGCCUGUCUGAACACAUAAGAACUCACAGUGGAGAGAGGCCUUAUGAAUGUAAGCAAUGUGGGAAAGCCUUUAGUUGUUCCUCAUCUCUCACUAAACACAUAAGAACUCACAGUGGAGAGAGGCCUUAUGAGUGUAAGCAAUGUGGGAAAGCCUUUAGUCAGGCCUCAUCCCUCACUAAACAUAUAAGAACUCACAGUGGAGAGAGAUCUUAGGAAUGUAAGGAAUGCAGGAAAGCCUUUAGUCAUGGCUCACCCCUCAGUUCACAUAUAAGAACUCACAGUGGAGAGACUAUAUUAAAAGUGAGAUGUUUCAUCCGUACUGCUGUAAUCUCAAUAAAUUUCUGAAAGUCUGCGAUUAAAAAACAGAGUCUCUCUGUGAGUGAGAAACCAAUACUAACUCAAGGAAGGGGUCAUUAAAGUUACUUUGUGCCUUUGGGAGAGAUGAUAGUUAACAUUGUAAUUGUGGGGCUGUCCUCAUCGAUAUUUUUUACUUUCUCUGUCAAAGCUAAAUUGUACUUUUCUGAAAGUCUUUCGCUACUACAAAUAAGGCUACAGGGAAUAGCCUUGAGAAAAUGUGGUUUUAUAUUUUUUAAUGUUAUUGAUGUUACUUUGCAUACAAUUAAAUACACUCAUCUUGUAUUUGGUUUAAGAGUGUUUUGUUUUCAUGUUUAACACAUUUCCUUCCAUUCUUUCCUAUUGUAAAGUUUUUUACUCUUGAUAAUUAGUUUCUCAUAGGGUGAUAACUUUGAGACCGCAGAUACUCUGUUUUUCAUUGUAUUUUUUUUAUGGUCUACUAAUUUUAGUAUUCAUUCAUAAUUAUUACCUAUACUUAUUAUUACUGUGGUGUUUACCGAAAUGUUACUGAGUGGGAACCUCAGGUCCUGCUCAGUGUGACUUGUAUUGGCCAGUAAACAAGAGACCGGGGUGGAAGAGUGGAAAGGUACCUAUAUUUCAUUGCACAAGGAAAGUAGACAGUUGGAGCUGCUGCUGCAACGACUGCUCAUCGAGGGUGAGGGGAAGGUUACUUUUAAGGGUUUACAAGUAGGAAGUUUAUACAGGUUACAUCAGCAACAUUCUUAAUCAUACUUCGGAGGUACAGUGGUGUUAACAUAUAACUUCAUGCAUCACCAGGAUUUUAACUUAAAGUUGCGGGGUGCGCCAGGCAAAGGGAACAGGAUAAUAAUGCAGAGCUGCGGGACAAGCUAAUAAAGCUGCUGGAGGCAGUGGAAUUUUCUGAAGCCUGGGGACCUAAAAUGGUAUUUUCUUUUCCAAUCAUUUUUUUGUAUAUUUAUUAAUUUGAAUUUUACAAAAAAUAGAUUUCCUUUCUCUCCUCUUUAUUGUUUAUAACAGUAAGGCAGUCCCUGGAUUAUGAAUGAGUUUUAUUUCUAAGUCUGCCUUUAAGUUGAAUUUGUGUGUAAGUUGAAACAGUUAGUUAUGAUUAGUAUCUAACAUCAGUCAAAUGUUUGUUGUAGUAUAUAGUGUUAUGGAUUGAAUUGUGUCCCCUAAAAAUGUGUGUCAACUUGGCUAGUCCGUGAUUCCCAGUAUUAGGUGACUGUCCACCAUUUUGUCAUCUAAUGUGAUUUUCACAUGUGUUGUAAAUCCUACCUCUAUAAUAUUAAUGAGGUGGGAUUAGCAGCAGUUACAUUAAUGAGGCAGGACUCAAUCUACAUGAUUAAGUUUUGUCUUAAGCCAAUCUUCUUUGAGAUAUAAAAGAGAGAAGCAAACAGAGAGACAUGGGGACCUCAUACCAACAAGAAACAAGAGCCAGGAGAAGGGCAUGUCUUUUGGACUAGGGGUCCCUGCACUGAGAAGCUCCUCGACCGGGGAAGAUUGAUGACAAGGACCUUCCUCCAGAGCUCACAGAGAAAGCCUUCCCCUGGAGCUGGCACCCUGAAUUUGGACUGUGAAAGAAUAAAUUUCUCUUUGUUAAAGCCA